AUGGAGAUCAAGCAGCGAAUGUUGGCAAUGAUCAGCCAGAAGACGGUCCAAUUGGAGUUGGUAUUCUCCAUGGUGACCUAGAAAAACUUUCAAAUGGAGUUGCCAUGGAGCAGACUACACAUCCAAUUGAAGCACUUCAGACCUCACCUCUGUCAUCGUCAACAAGAAGUUUCAAAGAUAAUCAGGAGGAGAAUCAUUAUGAUUAUGGUGACCCAGAAAAACUUUCAAAUGGAGUUGCCAUGGAGCAGACUACACAUCCAAUUGAAGCACUUCAGACCUCACCUCUGUCAUCGUCAACAAGAAGUUUCAAAGAUAAUCAGGAGGAGAAUCAUUAUGAUUAUGCUCUUCAAAUGCAACACCUCAAUCAAAAACUUCUGAAGGAUGAAGCUUGUAUAGGAUCUCAACAAAAUAUUGAUCAGCAUGACAUA
rnacentral:lncRNA from 1 species